rnacentral:rRNA from 1 species
GUAGGGAAUCUUGCGCAAUGGGCGAAAGCCUGACGCAGCCAUGCCGCGUGAAUGAUGAAGGUCUUAGGAUUGUAAAAUUCUUUCACCGGGGACGAUAAUGACGGUACCCGGAGAAGAAGCUCCGGCUAACUUCGUGCCAGCAGCCGCGGUAAUACGAAGGGGGCUAGCGUUGCUCGGAUUUACUGGGCGUAAAGGGCGCGUAGGCGGACAUUUAAGUCAGGGGUGAAAUCCCGGGGCUCAACCUCGGAACUGCCUUUGAUACUGGGUGUCUUGAGUAUGAGAGAGGUGUGUGGAACUCCGAGUGUAGAGGUGAAAUUCGUAGAUAUUCGGAAGAACACCAGUGGCGAAGGCGACACACUGGCUCAUUACUGACGCUGAGGCGCGAAAGCGUGGGGAGCAAACAGGAUUAGAUACCCUUGUAGUCC